CAUGUGUACAAUUCAACAUACCAGAAAGCAGGCAGCCAGACAUUAAGGUGUAUGACCAGUCAGACAGAAGUUAACACAGAGGUUUUUGAAGAAAUAGUGAAGGAGUCACCUGGAACUCUGAGAAUCAUGCUGGGCAAUGGAGGACUUGGUAUUCAUUCAGACAAUUCACAAAUUACUUUGUUUAGUUUAAAGGCCGGAAUGAGAACAUUUAUUGUCUUAAAAUACCGGUAACAUUAAGCAUUUAGCUGGGCUGUAAAUAAACAUUGUUGUUAUUUUACAAAUAUUAUGUAAAUUGUGUUGUGCAAUGUCAUUUGAGUGUGAUGUUAACUUUGAAUUCAUAUGCUAGGACACCCCCCCCCCCCCAAAAGUGUCAGAGUGAUGUAUGCACAGGGGAUAGUAGCUUUGUUUCCCAUACUCACAACAUGGAUAUGAGCAUUACUAUGAUCCAGAGAGUGGUUCAGGAUACCUUGCAUGGCGAUUGAAGACUAUACAAAGAAAAACAGCAGAGGAAAGAGUUGGUGGGCCAGGUCGUGUUUGUCAGCCCUUCACCUUUGACAGAGAUCCAUCUGAUGAGGAUGUGGAAGCAGCUAUUUUGAGACACUCUGCUGAUGAAAAGACUGUCUGUGAGAAGAUGAAAAUGACCUUCAUAUAUCGGCAAGCAAUGGUCAACGGUGAAGCCAAAUCAUCAGAUGUCUUGGUCUUCCCACGAUUUCUGGACACACCAGGACUGAUAGAACAAGAUUUCAGAUUUCUGUUUGGUGAGGCCACGGCCAACAAAUUCUUUGAGAAGUGGCCAACCACUUUUAAAGCAAAAGUAAUAAAGGAAAGCGAUGGACUUGUACCCACAACAGAACUCUUGGAUUUGAUGCACAAUGCUGAGUCAGCUGCUGAAGUUGAGAAUCGUAUGAAUGGCUGGGACAGUGACAUGUCUGCCAUCUUGCUGCUGCUACCACCAUCUGCACAAGGUUGGAACCAGUGUGCAGCAACAUCUAGACAACAUCACCCAAAGCAGUCAGCCCUACCUUCUCGCCCAGGGAUCCACACAGAGCACCAUUCACUCCUACUUUAUUGUGGUUGACAAGCAUGCACUUCCAUGCAAGGCAACAGGUUCAGUUGGAGCUUUUGACGAACACUUUAAAGCCCAUUACGUCUUUGGUACGUCAUACAGUUCUUCCCUGAGCAGCUUUUUCACUUUUGUGCAAACAACCAUCUAUAACAUCGACAUGGGGGAAACAAAGGAGACUCCUAGAGUUGCAGAGUUGUGGGCAAGAAUGGUGCGUUAGUUGAGAUAAAACUAUGAAGUGUUUUCUUUGCAAAAGUUACCGUGGAAGUAAUUCAUGGGCUAUGUACAGGCAGGACUCUUUUUCUGAAGUGUGGUCAAGAAGGAUGCUCACAUACUUUUGGUAGUUUUUCUGGUUUAAGAAAGCAUCUUAAGUGCCAUGGAAGCAGUUUACAUUUACAUUUACAUUUAAUCAUUUAGCAGACGCUUUUAUCCAAAGCGACUUACAAAUGAGAACAAUAGAAGCAAUCAGAUCAACAAGAGAACAACAACGGUAUACAAGUGCUAUGACAAGUCUCAGUUAGUCUAGUACAGAACACGCAGCCAGGGUUUUUUUUUUUUUAUGAAUAUGAUAGACAAGAAAAAGAAAAGGUAAGUACUAGUAUUAGUUGGUUAAGUGCAGGCGAAAAAGAUGAGUCUUUAGAUGUUUUUUGAAAAUGAGUAAAGAUUCACCUGUUCGAAUUGAGAUUGGGAGGUCAUUUCACCAGCUGGGCGCAGUCCAGGAAACCUCUUUUGAACCUCUUUGGGAUGGCACCACAAGGCGUCGUUCACUUGCAGAGCGCAAA
ensembl:lncRNA